UACGUAGGGUGCGAGCGUUAAUCGGAAUUACUGGGCGUAAAGCGUGCGCAGGCGGUUCGACAAGUCCGAUGUGAAAGCCCCGGGCUCAACCUGGGAAUUGCAUUUGAGACUGCGUAGCUAGGGUGCGGAAGAGGGAAGCGGAAUUUCCGGUGUAGCGGUGAAAUGCGUAGAUAUCGGAAGGAACACCAGUGGCGAAAGCGGCUUCCUGGUCCAGCACCGACGUUCAGGCACGAAAGCGUGGGGAGCAAACAGG
rnacentral:rRNA from 1 species